UGAACCUGCGUUGGCCCCCUAACUUAGCACUGACCAGUAGAGGAUGGCAGAAGGAACACUUUGCUAGUCCUGGAGGAGUCCACAAUUAGCCUGGGGGUUUCCACUUCUACCUUUUGGAAGCUGGUAGUCAGGAAAGCAGUGUGACUGUCCCAAGACCAUCACGCGUAGAGUUUCUGGAGGACGAAUGUGUCAGAGAGAGGGGCACCAAGGAGAGCUAAGUCUUCAGAUGUGUUAUGAGAAGAAGCUUACGUCAGAUGAAAAAGAGGUAUCAAUCCAUCUGAACACUUCCUGAAUUCCUGACCCACAGAAUCAUAAGCAAGAUAAUAUACCAGUUUCUUUUAAGCCACUCUGUUUUGAUGGAGGGACAUAAUCAGAACAGAAACUGGUAAGUGAAAACAGGAUGCUACCUCGGGAAAAAGCUAAAACACACUCACUGGCUUUAGGAUGAGUAGCAGGUGGCAGCAGGAAAGGUGUCGAGGAGAUUGCCAGCAAAGACCUGGAGGGCAGUGAGGAAACCAUACAGGAAACGGAGAAAGGGCAACUCAGACUGUACAGCGGCAGAACCUGAGAACUGCUGCCUGUUGAAAUAGGGAACGUAAGAAACAUACCCCAUAAAAGGGCCAACAGGUUUCUCUGAGACGCAUACAACAAGGAAUGGGUAAAGAGAGAGAAACUGAAAAGGAGAAGUGUUCAGGCUUUGAGCAGAAUUCAGAAAAAAAUAGAAAGGACUCAGGAUAGUCUUUCUGGUCAGCAAAACAUCCCUACAGCAAUUAGGGUAAAGAUGAAGUCAAGGGUACUCUGUGAUGACACUUCAGAAAGAUUUAAGGCCACAUCUUCAUAGGUCCUCAGAUUUUAAAAAAAGAGCUUCUAAGAAUCUUAAGGAUAUAGACCUCUUUGACUCUCUGCUAGACAGGAACACUGUCAAGAACCUUAAAGAUGCUGUCCCACAGCUCUUUCUGACCAAAAUAAACAAGAGACUGUCUAACAAAGAUCUGUGAGUGCAGCUUCUGUCUAAUGCAGGAGAUUGCAAUUAGAUAGAUAGGAAGCCCAUAUCAUUUUUAAGGGAGUUAUAUGAGAUUGAACUCAAAAUGAAAAUAGAUCUCUAGGUCCCCCAUUAUCUACUGUUAGGUAGCAAGCUAAGAAAACUAUUUAACUGCAAAAUCUGGUUAUUGCCUAUGAAAAAGGAAGGAAAGCUCAGGGUAUGAAGUCAAGAGCCCAGUGGGUGAAGUCAAGAGCCACAGAGAACCAUUUGUAGGGAUUAGAUCUGGGCCCUAAUCACGGAGGUGAUAACAGGAGUCUGUCCGGAUUUCACAAUUGCUAUGCACCAGGGAUUGCUAAGUGACCUGCAUUCCUCUUUCAUUUGAAAAGAAAGGUCUACCACAGUUAUACUACCACUGUUCACCACUGUAUACUGGGUACACCAGGGGCCUUGAACUUGACUCUAGUUUACUGGUCCUCCCAUGGAGAGCUGCACUUUAAGAACCACACCCAAGAAGCCUCACCCACACUAGACCUGACUUAGAUGACAGGAUAGAGAUCUUGAGCUUGAUGCCAUGAGAUAAGAUGCUGGGGAUCUGGGGAGGGCAGUGUAUUUUUUCUGUGGGAUGAAUGAGUGUGAAUUGUGAGGCCAGAGAACAGACUGUCUUCUGAGACCACUGCCCCCAGGUGCAACCCUCCCUGUUGCACGUGUAGCUUGUACAUCAAGAGCUGGAAUAUAAUUCUUCUCACCAUGAAUCUUAAUAAUUUGGGUGAGACUUAAUAAUUUGGUUUAUCAACAGAAUACAAUGGAAAUGACUUCCUGAAACUUUAAGACUGGGUCAUAGGAAGUCUUGCUGCUUCCUCCUGGGUUUCUUGGAACAUGUGUCCUUAGCAAACUCUCUCUGAGCCCAGCCACCACAUGUGAGCAGCCCGAGCCCACAGAUCGGAAGAGCCCAC